rnacentral:rRNA from 1 species
GUGAGGAAUAUUGCGCAAUGGAGGCAACUCUGACGCAGCCAUGCCGCGUGCAGGAAGAAGGCGCUACGCGUUGUAAACUGCUUUUAACCGGGAAGAAACCCCAGGACGUGUCCUGGGUUGACGGUACCGGAGGAAUAAGCACUGGCUAACUUCGUGCCAGCAGCCGCGGUAAUACGAAGGGUGCAAGCGUUAUCCGGAUUCAUUGGGUUUAAAGGGUGCGUAGGCGGAGCGUUAAGUCAGUGGUGAAAUCCAGCAGCUUAACUGUAGACUUGCCAUUGAUACUGGCGCUCUUGAGUGCGCUUGAAGUGGGCGGAAUGUGCCGUGUAGCGGUGAAAUGCUUAGAUAUGGCACAGAACACCAAUUGCGAAGGCAGCUCACUAAGGCGAUACUGACGCUGAGGCACGAAAGCGUGGGGAUCGAACAGGAUUAGAAACCCGAGUAGUCC